AUUGAACGCUGGCGGCAGGCUUAACACAUGCAAGUCGAGCGAGCGGCGGACGGGUGAGUAAUGUCUGGGAAACUGCCUGAUGGAGGGGGAUAACUACUGGAAACGGUAGCUAAUACCGCAUACCAUCAGAUGUGCCCAGAUGGGAUUAGCUAGUAGGUGGGGUAAUGGCUCACCUAGGCGACGAUCCCUAGCUGGUCUGAGAGGAUGACCAGUAACACUGGAAAUGGGACACGGUCCAGACUCCGAAGGGAGGCAGCAGUGGGGAAUAUUGCAGAAGGGGCACAAGCGUGAAGCAGCCAUGCCGGGUGUGUGAAGAAGGCCUUCGGGUUGUAAAGCACUUUCAGCGAGGAGGCGUUACUCGCAGAAGAAGCACCGGCUAACUCCGUGCCAGCAGCCGCGGUAAUUC
rnacentral:rRNA from 1 species